GAUGAACGCUGGCGGCGUGCCUAAUACAUGCAAGUCGAGCGAACAGACGAGGAGCUUGCUCCUCUGACGUUAGCGGCGGACGGGUGAGUAACACGUGGAUAACCUACCUAUAAGACUGGGAUAACUUCGGGAAACCGGAGCUAAUACCGGAUAAUAUAUUGAACCGCAUGGUUCAAUAGUGAAAGACGGUUUUGCUGUCACUUAUAGAUGGAUCCGCGCCGCAUUAGCUAGUUGGUAAGUUAACGGCUUACCAAGGCAACGAUGCGUAGCCGACCUGAGAGGGUGAUCGGCCACACUGGAACUGAGACACGGUCCAGACUCCUACGGGAGGCAGCAGUAGGGAAUCUUCCGCAAUGGGCGAAAGCCUGACGGAGCAACGCCGCGUGAGUGAUGAAGGUCUUCGGAUCGUAAAACUCUGUUAUGAGGGAAGAACAAAUGUGUAAGUAACUAUGCACGUCUUGACGGUACCUAAUCAGAAAGCCACGGCUAACUACGUG
rnacentral:rRNA from 1 species